UUAGACACCUUAUUUAUAUAGGUUAGUUAUUUUAGUUAUUUAGCGACGCACCAUAGUAGACGCAUAUUGAACGGGACUAGUGACGUUUGGGAUAUGUUGGGUUAGAGACCGGAAAAUCAGUUAGCGUUAGAACAUUCCAGGGUAACGACGUGUUUAGUGACAGAGACUUCUACUGUGGCCUUUUAUCAUAAUAAAUAUAUAUUAACUUGUUCAUCAUCGUUGACUACAUCUCUUCACCUGUUACAAUCGAUGUGCCAGUUCUUGUUUGUGUUGUUGGUCAACUACACGUAAUACACCCGAACAAUUACACCCAAACGAUUGCAGAGUAAUUGGUUGACUUCAAGACAGCCUGAACUAGCAACAUCACAGUGGCGACCCCGAACCUCGAAGCCCGACGAACAUCGAACCGGACCUCGAAGCAGAACGUUUACUCAGGUGAGGGUCGUGCACUCGAAGAUAUAAGAUUUCAUCGGAGUACGGCUGAACACAGCAGUAUCGCAGAGUGACUUUGUUCUGGAUCUACAAGCAGUCGUCGCCUGUUUGAUCGCACGUUCAACGAGCCGUUAACUCAGGGUGACCUUCGUCAGGACCGUAAUCAUCGCAACGCCUGAUCUUCAUAUGCUGAAUCGACCUACAACCAGAGAAACCGUUCAUUCAUAACGGGUGAGAGAUCGUUAGUGAACCUGUUGGACAUAUUUUUUCUUCGUCGUAGGAGCCACGUCGAGUAUCAAGUUUUACCUCGUCAGUUUCGAGAAGGACAGUUUGCCCGCUGUCAGAAGUAUUGUGAGUACUACAAGUUUGGUAGCUAACUAAAUCGAAAUCGCUCUGUCGUCUUACCCUUGGAGAGAUUCUUGUGGAGCAGUUUGCUCAUUGAACCGGUUGCUUGCCACGUUUAUAACGGUCACUGUGUUUAACCUUUGGAAGGUUAGUAAAGUUGUAUGUAUCAUUACUGAACAUUGAUAUAUUUAGUAUUCGUCGGUCUAGACGUUAUCUAGACGUGCUGAUAGUGAAGUUGUGGAAAUAGCUACAUCCACUUAAUUUCGUUGAAAACCGUUAAUCGUCUAACGGAACGUCGUCGGAGGUGACCUUGGUCUCACCUAGUCUACAUUGGACAGUUUGGUCUAGUGAAGCAACGUACAACAGCAAACUUCGUCGUACUACCAGAGUAGCAGCAGAGGCAGUGAACUAUUUUAGAGAACCGUUAUUCGUCAGCCCAGAUCAAGUCAUCGUCAAGAAAGUCGUUAUUCGUCAGCCCAGAUCAAGUCAUCGUCAAGAAAUUCGUUAUUCGUCAGUCGUCCAGAUCAAGUUGCCGUCAAGAGACUGUUAUUUGUCAGUAGUCGUCUACACAAGUCAAGUCAUCGCCAGAAGAACCGUUAACCUAUUCGUCAGUAACUGUGUACACAAAGUCGUCGGAACUACACAUACGGUCAUCAACAGUCGUCGAAGGAACUGGAACAUUUUGCUGUGGCAUAUCAGGACAUCUGUGGCAUUACGUGGGAUACUGGUAGCACCGGAGAACAGAGUCAGAACUGGAAGAGAGGCAGUGGAAUUUGUUGUGAUCUAGCAUAUUCGGGAGUCCGAACAAAGGGAUCUUUCUUAUCAAAAGCUAAGUGCCAUUUUUCUUAUUAGUAUAUGUUUAGAUUGCCCUUAGAAAUAGAUUUUGUCUAAAUUUGGUACGUUAGCCUGAGUAAAAUCAGGUGGUGCGCCUUAAAACCCGUCGGGGUAGAAGACGUAAUUUAGAUGAAAAGCUAUAUUAUACAUUUAGGGUUGUAAUUUGUUUUGUUUGUGUAAACGUCAUAUCCGUUGUUGCCUGGUUACUUCGUGACGUUAUCAUUGUGUGCCAUAUUGUCACAUCCCAACCCAUAGUGAUAGUCUCAUUUAAUUAUUUCAUUUGUUUAUAUUAUUUUAAAUUAUUUAUUUUUAUUAAUUUAAUUAGAUCUGUAUUUUUUUUUCACUUAAUGAUAGAAAGUGCGGGUAGGAUUCUUUUACUGUGAAUCAGACUAAAAUAAUUUUAGUUUGAGCGGUUAAAAUCAAAUAUGAUUUUGCCAUGAGAAUAAUGCCGAAACUGGCUAUGUAGUCAAACACUAUCGUCUGGCUAAAUUUAGAUCUGCAAAUUGUUGUACAUCUCUUUGGUACAAUUUAAUUAUCUAGACUCUAAUUUGAAAUAUUAUUAAGUUGAAGAUGAAUGAAGAUUACUGCCAGUGAAGAACAUUUGAGAUGUGUAGGACAUGCCCAUAAGAUGCCACAUUUUCCUCUAUGAUGAACUGUGUACUAAGGAGGAUGAUUUUGGAAUGUUAUGAACUGUUAUGAACAUUGACAUGAAUAUGAGGAACUGUCAAGAUGAAGAUGUCAAGAUGAAGAUGUCAAGAUUUUAUGUUUGUGGUCUUCCCCUUAGAUUGAAAAUGCCCUUGUAAGACUUGACAGUAGUGGAAAAAUAUUGACAUAUUUUUUUUCAAGGGGGGGAGGAAUCUGUUAGACACCUUAUUUAUAUAGGUUAGUUAUUUUAGUUAUUUAGCGACGCACCAUAGUAGACGCAUAUUGAACGGGACUAGUGACGUUUGGGAUAUGUUGGGUUAGAGACCGGAAAAUCAGUUAGCGUUAGAACAUUCCAGGGUAACGACGUGUUUAGUGACAGAGACUUCUACUGUGGCCUUUUAUCAUAAUAAAUAUAUAUUAACUUGUU